AUUGAACGCUGGCGGCAGGCCUAACACAUGCAAGUCGAACGGUAACAGGAAGCAGCUUGCUGCUUCGCUGACGAGUGGCGGACGGGUGAGUAAUGUCUGGGAAACUGCCUGAUGGAGGGGGAUAACUACUGGAAACGGUAGCUAAUACCGCAUAACGUCGCAAGACCAAAGAGGGGGACCUUAGGGCCUCUUGCCAUCGGAUGUGCCCAGAUGGGAUUAGCUAGUAGGUGGGGUAACGGCUCACCUAGGCGACGAUCCCUAGCUGGUCUGAGAGGAUGACCCGCCCCCCGGGACAGGGGAACCGCUCCACACCCCCCCGGGGGGCAGCGGGGGGGAAUUUGCCACAAGGGGCGCAAGCCUGAUGCAGCCAUGCCGGGUGUAUGAAGAAGGCCUUCGGGUUGUAAAGUACUUUCGGCGGGGAGGAAGGGAGUAAAUUUAACACCUUUCCUCAUUGCCGUUCCCCGCAGAAGAAGCCCCGGCCACCUCCGU
rnacentral:rRNA from 1 species